rnacentral:rRNA from 1 species
GACGAACGCUGGCGGCGUGCCUAACACAUGCAAGUCACGGGGUAAAUUGCUUCGGCAAUUUACUUAGUGGCGAACGGGUGAGUAACGCGUGAGAAACCUGCCUUUCAGUGGGGGACAACAGUUGGAAACGACUGCUAAUACCGCAUAAUGUAUUUAGGGGGCAUCCCUUGGAUACCAAAGCUUAAUGUGCUGAAAGAUGGUCUCGCGUCUGAUUAGCUAGUUGGUGGGGUAACGGCUCACCAAGGCGACGAUCAGUAGCCGGUCUGAGAGGAUGAACGGCCACAUUGGGACUGAGAUACGGCCCAGACUCCUACGGGAGGCAGCAGUGGGGAAUAUUGGGCAAUGGGGGCAACCCUGACGCAGCAACGCCGCGUGAAGGAUGAAGGUCUUCGGAUUGUAAACUUUUGUCUUAAGGGAAGAAAAUGACGGUACCUUAGGAGGAAGCCACGGCUAACUACGUG